UUUCCUACGGGGGGCAGCAGUGAGGAAUAUUGGUCAAUGGCCGGAAGGCUGAACCAGCCAAGCCGCGUGAAGGACGAAGGUUUUCGGAUUGUAAACUCCUUUUGUUAGAGAAGAUAAUGACGGUAUCUAACGAAUAAGCACCGGCUAACUCCGUGCCAGCAGCCGCGGUAAUACGGAGGGUGCAAGCGUUACUCGGAAUCACUGGGCGUAAAGAGCGCGUAGGCGGGAUAGCAAGUCAGAUGUGAAAUCCUAUGGCUUAACCAUAGAACUGCAUUUGAAACUGUUAUUCUAGAGUAUGGGAGAGG
rnacentral:rRNA from 1 species